CCAGUGUCAUUGGGGCCAACAGAUCGAGACUGAGUUUGGUUCACAAGCAAAGGAAACUUUAUAUUUUGAUCAGAGAAUGGAGAGUUAGAAUCAUCAUACCUGAAUCCACUCAUUAUGCUGCUAAGGGCCUGAUGACAUACAUUUCAUUGCUGAGUGAUAUUGCAUUAGUGGACCCCAACAAGUGUCCCCCUGCCCAGUGUCAUUGGGGCCAACAGAUCGAGACUGAGUUUGGUUCACAAGCAAAGGAAACUUUAUAUUUUGAUCAGAGA